rnacentral:rRNA from 1 species
CAACUUUCAACAACGGAUCUCUUGGCUCUCGCAUCGAUGAAGAACGCAGCGAAAUGCGAUAAGUAAUGUGAAUUGCAGAAUUCAGUGAAUCAUCGAAUCUUUGAACGCACCUUGCGCUCCUUGGUAUUCCGAGGAGCAUGCCUGUUUGAGUGUCUUGAAGUCA